rnacentral:rRNA from 1 species
UACGUAGGGUGCAAGCGUUGUCCGGAAUUAUUGGGCGUAAAGAGCUCGUAGGCGGUUUGUUGCGUCGGCUGUGAAAUCCCGAGGCUCAACCUCGGCAGGUCGUUGGAAACCAUAUGGCUAGAGUCCGGAAGAGGAGAGUGGAAUUCCUGGUGUAGCGGUGAAAUGCGCAGAUAUCAGGAAGAACACCGAUGGCGAAGGCAGCUCUCUGGGACGGUACUGACGCUGAGACGCGAAAGCGUGGGGAGCGAACAGG